rnacentral:rRNA from 1 species
GACAGAGGUCCCGAGCGUUAGGCGGAAUCAUUGGGCGUAAAGCGCGUGUAGGCGGUCCGGUAAGUCCGCUGUGAAAGUCGGGGGCUCAACCCUCGGAUGCCGGUGGAUACUGUCGGGCUUGAGUACGGAAGAGGCGAGUGGAAUUCCUGGUGUAGCGGUGAAAUGCGCAGAUAUCAGGAGGAACACCAAUUGCGAAGGCAGCUCGCUGGGACGUUACUGACGCUGAGACGCGAAAGCGUGGGGAGCAAACAGG